UCGCCUGUUUAACAAAAACAUCGCCUCUUGAACCCUAUAAGAGGUCCAGCCUGCCCAGUGACUCUGUUCAACGGCCGCGGUAUCCUAACCGUGCGAAGGUAGCGUAAUCACUUGUUCUUUAAAUGUGGACUAGUAUGAAUGGCACCACGAAGGUUAUACUGUCUCCUUUUUCUAAUCAGUGAAACUAAUCUCCCCGUGAAGAAGCGGGGAUAAAAUUAUAAGACGAGAAGACCCUAUGGAGCUUUAAACAACACAGCACUUGCCACACAUUAUUAAAAUUUCAGAAUCUUUAACUACCCUAAGCAACAUGACUGUGAGUUUUUGGUUGGGGUGACCGCGGAGCAUAACACAACCUCCAUGUUGAAAGAAUCUUUUUCUAAGCUAAGAACUACAACUCUAAGCAUCAAUACAUUGACAUCCAUUGACCCAAUAUACUUGAACAACGAACCAAGUUACCCUAGGGAUAACAGCGCAAUCCACUUCAAGAGCUCCUAUCGACAAGUGGGUUUACGACCUCGAUGUUGGAUCAGGGUUUCCCAGUGGUGCAGCCGCUACUAAAGGUUCGUUUGUUCAACGAUUAAAACCCUACAUGAUCUGAGUUCAGACCGGA
rnacentral:rRNA from 1 species